UGUGAGAGCUGGCUUGCCUGCGAUGCAGACACCUCGGGACAUCAGUCAUACCGAGGUGAUGCUAUCGCAGGCAAGCCAGCUCCCACA
rnacentral:antisense_RNA from 1 species